rnacentral:tRNA from 1 species
GAGGGUAUAGUUCAGUGGUUGAGCACAUGCUUAGCAUGCACGACUUCCUGGGUUCAACCCCAAGUACCCCCA